CCCACUGGCGUUUCAGAUAGAUUAAAUAUAGACUGCUGCUGCUACGACCGAGACCUUAUUAAUCCGCUUGCAGGCAUUUAAAUGCAGGCAUUGAAAAUACCGAGUUUAGAGCGCAGCCGUCAAGAGCCUGACACUUCCUCGCGGUCUUUCCCUCCCACCCCCCUUGGCUCAUGUCUCCGUGUCUCUACUUCCCUGGGAAGUGAAGUUUCCAGAUUCAGGUGGAGCGUCUUAGAGUUGUCUGAAGGAAAGGUCGCGGUGACGUGGGGGAGGACCUCAAGCACGAGCUGGAACCCCAGGAGGACAGCCCCAGAUGUCUCAUGCUUGUGCCUGUGACCUAUGGCUCAGGCCACCUCCACCCUGCCUUGGCAGCCUUCCCAGCGCGCACCGGACUGGACUCCGAAGGUGGGACAAAGGAGGCAAUUCUGGUGGCUGGUGGUCCUUCCUAGCCUGGUGUCCUUCCUUCGGAGAGGAUUAACUCAAAGCCCAGAGAGGAAGCUGGCCCAAGGCCACACCAGGGCCGGCAGCACUGGGAUGGCCACUGUGGAGGGACCUCAGGCAGCAGCCAGCACCGGGGUAGGCCUUCCAGAGACAGCCGUGCAUAGACAAGUAUCCGUGUGACCACAUGGUACGACAUGAUGCAUCGUGUGCGAGUUUGUAUAAUCACGUGAUACCCGUGUGCGCUGCAGUGUGUGUGUGCAAGUCUGUGUGAUCACAUGAUACCAAGUGAGUGUGAGUAUGUGUGUGUGAGCUACCUGCCUGUGUCUGGCAUCUUUCAUUUUGCACCUGCCCAAAUGGGAGCAGCUACAGAACAGAGAGUGUCAUUCUCCCUGCUCGUCAUACUCAGGGAAAAGAGCCCGUCCACCCCCAGCAGUUCUGAGCCCAUCCCAGGAGGUGUCUGGGGCAGAAGUUAGUUUGUGUUUUUAACUUCUCAGAUAAUAUCAGUAUCCAGCCAAUGCUGAGAACCCCACAGUGGAAGCCAGUUGUGUGACUUGCCAUUUUUCCUUUGAUGUAUCUAGUUGUGUUUCUACAAGUCUCUUGACCGUGAGCUUUUUGUUGUAUUGAAUCCACAGUGGUCCCUCGGUGAUGACAUUUGGGGUGUUCUCACUCCUCUGCCUCCACAAACAUGCUGUGUGCCCUGGGCAAGCACAUCAGAGGUGAAUUCCUGAAGAUGGAGUUGGUGGAUGGAAGGGUAUUUUGAGUUUCAAAUUCAUUUGUCUUUUUAUGUCUUCACUGGGGAGAAUACAGCAUAAAGUCUUACCCGUUGAAGAGAGGGUGAGCAUCUUCUCUCUUGUACACAGGAAAGUUGCAUUGUGUUAGUUGGGAGCAUGCUUGGUUACUAUUGUUGUUGUUUGGAAGUUCAAGCCUGAAUAAAAGGAUGGGUUUUGAGUUAUCAAAGGGUGGACUGGAAAAGAUGUAGAUCUG